rnacentral:lncRNA from 1 species
UUAAAACAAGAGUGCACACGCUGAAAUGUCUCGCCUUCUAUACUAAUCAUUGAUAUUAUGUUGAUAGUCCUAAGUAUAAAGCUAAGUUUUAUUACAACUGUCACAUAAACUUAACAUUAACCAAGAUAACUAAACAAAGACCAAUGAACCUUGAAAAUGAGGUCAAGGUCAGAUGAACCAUACCAGGCAGACAUGUACAGCUAACAAUGCUUCUAUACAACAUAUAUAGUUGACCCAUUACUUAUAGUUUAAGAAAAAUAGACCAAAACACAAAAAC